AAGAGUUUACUUUCGAGAAUCUUUUGUAUGGUUUGUUACUAGUAGGAGCUUUUAUUGGGCGUGUAGAGUACCGAAAACCACGAGGAAAAGGUGCGGUGUUCUUUUCCUGAACGUAAAUUUGUCACUAUUGUUUUAUUGCGUUUGUCUUUUGGCAUUGGUGGUUGUUUUUCUUUUCUCGAGGGAGAGAACGCAGUCUGAUUGGU
rnacentral:snoRNA from 1 species